UACGUAGGGGGCAAGCGUUGUCCGGAAUCAUUGGGCGUAAAGAGCGUGUAGGCGGCCCGAUAAGUCCGCUGUGAAAGUCCAGGGCUCAACCCUGGAAUGCCGGUGGAUACUGUCGGGCUCGAGUUCGGAAGAGGUGAGUGGAAUUCCUGGUGUAGCGGUGAAAUGCGCAGAUAUCAGGAGGAACACCGGUGGCGAAGGCGGCGACCUGGGUCGAGACUGACGCUGAGGCGCGAAAGCGUGGGGAGCAAACAGG
rnacentral:rRNA from 1 species